rnacentral:rRNA from 1 species
UACGUAGGGGGCAAGCGUUGUCCGGAUUUAUUGGGCGUAAAGCGCUCGCAGGCGGCUUGCUACGUCAUGCGUGAAACACCCCGGCCUCAACUGGGGAGGGUCGUGUGAUACGGGCAGACUAGAGUGCGGUAGGGGAGACUGGAAUUCCUGGUGUAGCGGUGGAAUGCGCAGAUAUCAGGAGGAACACCGAUGGCGAAGGCAGGUCUCUGGGCCGCAACUGACGCUGAGGAGCGAAAGCAUGGGGAGCGAACAGG